rnacentral:rRNA from 1 species
GAUGAACGCUGGCGGCGUGCCUAAUACAUGCAAGUCGAGCGAACAGACGAGGAGCUUGCUCCUCUGACGUUAGCGGCGGACGGGUGAGUAACACGUGGAUAACCUACCUAUAAGACUGGGAUAACUUCGGGAAACCGGAGCUAAUACCGGAUAAUAUAUUGAACCGCAUGGUUCAAUAGUGAAAGACGGUUUUGCUGUCACUUAUAGAUGGAUCCGCGCCGCAUUAGCUAGUUGGUAAGGUAACGGCUUACCAAGGCAACGAUGCGUAUCCGACCUGAGAGGGUGAUCGGCGACACUGGAACUGAGACACGGUCCAGACUCCUAAGGGAGGCAGCAGUAGGGAAUCUGCCGCAAUGGGCGAAAGCCUGACGGAGCAACGCCGCGUGAGUGAUGAAGGUCUUCGGAUCGUAAAACUCUGUUAUUAGGGAAGAACAAAUGUGUAAGUAACUAUGCACGUCUUGACGGUACCUAAUCAGAAAGCCACGGCUAACUACGUG